rnacentral:rRNA from 1 species
GCCUCAGUAACGGCGAGUGAAGCGGCAACAGCUCAAAUUUGAAAUCUGGCCUCUUGGGGUCCGAGUUGUAAUUUGUAGAGGAUGUUUUGGGUACCGCCCCGGUCUAAAUUUCUUGGAACAGAAUGUCAAAGAGGGUGAGAAUCCCGUCUUGGACCGGCGGUAGGGCCUGUGUAAAACUCCUUCGACGAGUCGAGUUGUUUGGGAAUGCAGCUCAAAAUGGGUGGUAAAUUUCAUCUAAAGCUAAAUAUUGGCCAGAGACCGAUAGCGCACAAGUAGAGUGAUCGAAAGAUGAAAAGCACUUUGAAAAGAGAGUUAAAAAGCACGUGAAAUUGUUGAAAGGGAAGCGCUUGCAACCAGACUUGCUCGCGGUGGUUCCGCCGGUCUUCUGACCGGUCUACUCGCCGCGUUGCAGGCCAGCAUCGUCUGGUGCCGCCGGAUAAAGACUUGAGGAAUGUAGCUCCCUCGGGAGUGUUAUAGCCUCGAUUGUGAUGCAGCGAGCGCCGACCGAGGUCCGCGCUUCGGCUAGGAUGCUGGCGUAAUGGUCGUAAUCCGCCCGUCUUGAAACACGGACCAAGGAGUCUAACAUCUAUGCGAGUGUUUGGGUGUCAAACCCCUACGCGUAAUGAAAGUGAACGGAGGUGAGAAGCCGCAAGGUGCACCAUCGACCGAUCCUGAUGUCUUCGGAUGGAUUUGAGUAAGAGCAUAGCUGUUGGGACCCGAAAGAUGGUGAACUAUGCCUGAAUAGGGUGAAGCCAGAGGAAACUCUGGUGGAGCCUCGCAGCGGUUCUGACGUGCAAAUCGAUCGUCAAAUUUGGGUAUAGGGGCGAAAGACUAAUCGAACC